rnacentral:rRNA from 1 species
GAUGAACGCUAGCGGCAGGCUUAAUACAUGCAAGUCGAGGGGCAGCAGGUCCCGCAGCAAUGCGGGAUGCUGGCGACCGGCAGACGGGUGCGGAACACGUACAGAACCUUCCUUUAAGUGGGGAAUAGCCCGGGGAAACCCGGAUUAAUACCCCGUAACAUAAUGAAGUGGCAUCACUUUAUUAUUAUAGCAGCAAUGCGCUUGAAGAUGGCUGUGCGGCUGAUUAGGUAGUUGGCGGGGUAACGGCCCACCAAGCCUACGAUCAGUAACUGGUGUGAGAGCACGACCAGUCACACGGGCACUGAGACACGGGCCCGACUCCUACGGGAGGCAGCAGUAAGGAAUAUUGGGCAAUGGACGCAAGUCUGACCCAGCCAUGCCGCGUGGAGGAUGAAGGUCCUCUGGAUUGUAAACUUCUUUUAUCUGGGAAGAAAUCUAUUUUUUCUAAAGUAGUUGACGGUACCAGAUGAAUAAGCACCGGCUAACUACGUGCCAGCCGCCGCAGUAA